GGGCGGGUAGCGCAGUGGUCAGGGUGUUCCUGGGCGUUUCAGCGUUGCUUUCUUCCCUAGGUACCUCUCUUCAACGUUCAGCGAAAGACCUGGGUUCGAAUCCCAGCCCGCCCA
rnacentral:tRNA from 1 species